rnacentral:tRNA from 1 species
GGGUAUAGCUCAGACGUGGUAGAGCUCCUGACAAGAGUUUCAGGGGUCCGGGGUUAGAUUCCCUGUUCAUCCA